rnacentral:rRNA from 1 species
CUGAUGACGCUGGCGGCGUGCCUAAUACAUGCAAGUCGAGCGAACGGACGAGAAGCUUGCUUCUCUGAUGUUAGCGGCGGACGGGUGAGUAACACGUGGAUAACCUACCUAUAAGACUGGGAUAACUUCGGGAAACCGGAGCUAAUACCGGAUAAUAUUUUGAACCGCAUGGUUCAAAAGUGAAAGACGGUCUUGCUGUCACUUAUAGAUGGAUCCGCGCUGCAUUAGCUAGUUGGUAAGGUAACGGCUUACCAAGGCAACGAUGCAUAGCCGACCUGAGAGGGUGAUCGGCCACACUGGAACUGAGACACGGUCCAGACUCCUACGGGAGGCAGCAGUAGGGAAUCUUCCGCAAUGGGCGAAAGCCUGACGGAGCAACGCCGCGUGAGUGAUGAAGGUCUUCGGAUCGUAAAACUCUGUUAUUAGGGAAGAACAUAUGUGUAAGUAACUGUGCACAUCUUGACGGUACCUAAUCAGAAAGCCACGGCUAACUACGUGCCAGCAGCCGCGGUAAUACGUAGGUGGCAAGCGUUAUCCGGAAUUAUUGGGCGUAAAGCGCGCGUAGGCGGUUUUUUAAGUCUGAUGUGAAAGCCCACGGCUCAACCGUGGAGGGUCAUUGGAAACUGGAAAACUUGAGUGCAGAAGAGGAAAGUGGAAUUCCAUGUGUAGCGGUGAAAUGCGCAGAGAUAUGGAGGAACACCAGUGGCGAAGGCGACUUUCUGGUCUGUAACUGACGCUGAUGUGCGAAAGCGUGGGGAUCAAACAGGAUUAGAUACCCUGGUAGUCCACGCCGUAAACGAUGAGUGCUAAGUGUUAGGGGGUUUCCGCCCCUUAGUGCUGCAGCUAACGCAUUAAGCACUCCGCCUGGGGAGUACGACCGCAAGGUUGAAACUCAAAGGAAUUGACGGGGACCCGCACAAGCGGUGGAGCAUGUGGUUUAAUUCGAAGCAACGCGAAGAACCUUACCAAAUCUUGACAUCCUUUGACAACUCUAGAGAUAGAGCUUUCCCCUUCGGGGGACAAAGUGACAGGUGGUGCAUGGUUGUCGUCAGCUCGUGUCGUGAGAUGUUGGGUUAAGUCCCGCAACGAGCGCAACCCUUAAGCUUAGUUGCCAUCAUUAAGUUGGGCACUCUAAGUUGACUGCCGGUGACAAACCGGAGGAAGGUGGGGAUGACGUCAAAUCAUCAUGCCCCUUAUGAUUUGGGCUACACACGUGCUACAAUGGACAAUACAAAGGGCAGCGAAACCGCGAGGUCAAGCAAAUCCCAUAAAGUUGUUCUCAGUUCGGAUUGUAGUCUGCAACUCGACUACAUGAAGCUGGAAUCGCUAGUAAUCGUAGAUCAGCAUGCUACGGUGAAUACGUUCCCGGGUCUUGUACACACCGCCCGUCACACCACGAGAGUUUGUAACACCCGAAGCCGGUGGAGUAACCUUUUAGGAGCUAGCCGUCGAAGGUGGGACAAAG